GAUUUGGCCAAUUGACCACACCAGAGGGUAUGGCAGCAAGCACGUCUCCCAGCUGACACAAUGUGUAUUGUGGUUCUGAGAUGCCUCAGUUUGGAGAAGCAUAGAGAAAGAAAAGACGCCCAUUUAGAGGAAGGCCUAAAUAGACCCAGAAAUCUGCACACACAUCAGAGAAGGCUGAACUACGGGUCCCUCCGCCUGCAGAUCCUUUAGGGGUGCGAUUGUGCCCUAAGCGAUCUCCGUGCUUCCGGAACUUUCUCGUGGAAUCUGCUGUAUGGGCUGAAGAUUUAUGGAAGUGUCGUCCCAGCAUCGCCCCUGUCUUUGGACUCUGUCUUAUUGAUCAAGUAAGAAGUUUAAAAACUCAGGGCAGUCUCACUUAGGCAACAUUUGACUUGUGCCAAGCCUCUAGUCCCCCGCCGUGUCAGCUUUAUUGCUCAUACAAUUAGAGAUGGCCGCCUGCGAGAGGCUCCCCACCGCUGCCACUCUCCCCAGCUCAUCCGCUUCCUCUUGCCCAGCACGCUGGCUCCUGGCUCAUUUCAACUUUCAUUAGCCUCCGUGGCUCCUGGGUGUGAAGGUGCAGCUCACCUAAUCUUUGCCAUUCUGGAGUGCAAAAUAAAACAUCCCAGUGUUUGA